AUCCCAAAGGGGCACUGGUUAGAAUAAAGGGUUCUCAAACCAGCACAGUCAACACCUCUACAAAAAAGAAAAAAGCACUCAGCAGCUUCACCAGCCGCCUGAGAAAUGCAGGUCAAGCCACACGAGAGUUCCUCGUCCCCCAGUCAGAAUGGCAGUCAUAGGAAAAACGGUGAACGCGAUUACCACACAAGAUGAUGACCCAAGGUUGGUUUCCAGAAGCCACAGUGUAGGGAGACAACAGGCUCCUGAGAGUUUUCCUCUGACAAUCACAUGUGCACUGCACAUGCACUUUAACACACACACACAAAAACAAUACACAAAACAAAAAAACAAACCAGAAAACCAACAACAAAUACCAGCUGAGCAUAGCGGCACACAUCUUUAAUCUCAGCACUCAGGAGACAGAUGAUCUCUGUGGGUUUCAGGACAGUCUGCUUUACCAGUGAGUUUCAAGACAGCCAGGAACACAUGACCCUGUUUCAAACAACAAAAUGAGCCUCACAGUGGUGCUCACACUUUUAAUCUUAACACUUGGGAAGCUGAGGCAGGCAGGUCUCUGUGCAUUGGAGGCCAGCCUGGUCUACAGAUUGAGUUCUGGAACAGCCAGAGCUACAUAGAGAAACCCUAUCUCAAACAAAAACAGAACAACAACAAAACAAAACAGAACAAAACCAUUACACACCAAAAAACAAAACUCAUCAAAAAACAAACAAAACGAGACAAUGAGCCCAAAUAACAAAUGCUGUGAAUAACAAAUGCUGUAAGUAUGUGACAAAGGGACACUGCUUUUACCCUGUUGGUAGACAGGUCCCCUACUGUAGGAGUUGAUAUGAGCUUCCUCAAAAAGCUAACAAUAGCUCCACCCUUCUACUGGCUGUUCCACUCCCAUGCAUUUACCCAAAGGAUUCCAAGCCAACCUUUCAUAGAGAUGUUUGCACGUUGAUGUCUUCUGGGUGCUCUUCAAGAGGACUAAAUUGUGGAACUAAUCUCAGAGUUCAAAAACAGAAGAAUGGACAAGAAAAACGCGGCAAAUCUCAUUUCAUUUUUCUUUUUUGUUUUGUUUUGUUUUGUUUUUCCCCCGAGUCAGGGUUUCUCUGUGUAGCCCUAGCUGUCCUAGAACUCACUAUGUAGAUCAAAUCAAGAGAUCCGAAUGUCUCUGCUUCCCCAAAUGCUGAGAUUAAAGAUGUGUAUUUCUGUGUUUGUGUGUUCUGCCUGCAUGUGCGACUAUGCAUCAUGUGUUUCUGGUACCCUCACAGGUCAGAAGUCCGAUCCCCUGGAACUGGAUUUAUGGAUAGCUGUUAGCUACAUGGGGUUCUGGGAAAUGAACCUGAGUCCUAUAUAAGAGCAAAAAUUGUCUUAAUCACUGAGCCAACUCUCCAGCCCCUUUAAUUUGUGUGUGUGUGUUGUAUAGAAUGAAGUUGUGUUUUCCAGGAAAAUGAAUGCAACUGGAGAUAUGCAAUAAUAUUAAAGAAUUAAGCCAAUAACAAGACAAAUAUGUUUUGCUUUUGGUUCCUAGAUUUUAUAUAGACACAUAAAAUUCUGUGUAUAUAUGUGACAUGAAAGUGGAAGUAGCUGGGCGGUGGUGGUGCACACCUUUAAUCCCAGCACUCGGGAGGCAGUGGCAGGCGGAUUUCUGAGUUCGAGGCCAGGCUGGUCUACAGAGUGAGUUCCAGGACAGCCAGGGCUACACAGAGAAACCCUGUCUGGAAAAAACAAAAGAAAAAAAAAAAAAAGAAAGUGGAAGUAAAGGUGUCUGGGGGAUAAAGGGCACUAAUGGGUGGGAGAUGGGGGAGGGGUGAGAGGGAGGUGAGGGCUGUGGGGAGAGGAUACUCAAACAGCAUAGACUUAUGAGAGAAUAAAUUUCAAAACAAUCAGAGCCUUGAACUGUAUCACGUCCCUUGGCCCCAGCAUAGUGCAUAGAACACAUUCCACAGUGCUACAAGAAAGGGCUUCAGGGACUGACUCAGCUCUGGGAAGGACUUUUACAUAUGAGGCCACAGGUUCCGCCCCUAGCACUGCAGAAAUGACUGAUGAAAAAGGUCCUUGUAUAUUAAAGAACCGUCUCAAGUAGUUCAAGAUGCCCUUGACCUCUCUGUAUAACCAGCCAGGAUGACCCCGAGUCUGCCUUCUUAGUGCUGGGAUUAUAGGUAUGUUGUGAACAGCCAUAUUUAUCUGUGUCUAACCCCUAUGCCCCAUUUAUAGAUUCUGGGAGUUAGGGAGGUUCAGGGCCUUGUGCAUAAUAGGCAGGUGCUCUACCAGUCCAGUUACACCCACAGCUCCUUACGCUGUCAAGGGAUCUCAAGUUAAUAGUUUCCUUUUUUAACCUGCCAGUGCAAAGGACUGAACACAGGGCCUUAUCUCUCUCUCUCUCUCUCUCUCUCUUUCUCUCUCUCUCUCUCUCCUCCUCCUCCUCCUCCUCCUCCUCCUCCUCCCUCCCUCCCUUCCUUUCUUAAAGUAAGGGUUUCAGGGAUCCUAGGCUGGCUCAGAUUUACUGUUGUUGAGGUGGAUUUUGUGAGUUCCUGAUCCUUGUGGCUCCACCCCUCAGUGCUGGGAUCAGUGAACGCUGGGAUUGGAGACAUGUACUGCCACACCCAGUCUCUUAAACACGUUUGACUCCAGGAAUCACAAGAUUUAGAUCUGGAAGCAAUCCUAGAGAUAGCCCUCACAUUCUUCUUUAGCAGCAGCAUCUCAUCUUGCAGCUUAAUCUGCCCCUAAACCCGAGGUCCUCCUGUGUCAGCUUCCGGAGUUCUGGGAUGUCAGGCACGUGGCACCAUAACUGGUUUUGGUUUACCUGGUUUUGAAUUUUAUAGCUAAAGACACUGAGCCCUAAGGAGUUUAAGGUAAACUUGGGAAGCUAGGGAUUGUGAGCCCAAGGAGGCAAAUGUAUGGGGGUCAAGGAGCACCCGAGGGAGCGGGGAGGGAUGCUGGAAGAGAGGGAAAGAGGAAGGGGACGGAAGGAGACUCAGAGCUCAGGGAGGACAGCCUGUGUGCUUUCUCAGCCAUUGCCGUAGGAAAAGAAACCUACUUGACCUUUUCCCCAAAUCAGAAAAAAAGAGCAGCUGACUUUUUCCUGUAAGUCUCAUCUCCAGAAGGCUGCUCUCUCUCCUGCUAUAGCACUCUAUGACACCUUUAAGAACCCUCUGCAGGCGGAUUUCUGAGUUCGAGGCCAGCUUGGUCUACAAAGUGAGGUCCAGGACAGCCCGGGCUACACAGAGAAACCCUGUCUCGAAAAAACAAACAAACAAACAAACAAACAAACAAACAAAAAAGAACCCUCUGCUGCCGUCAGGGACUUCAGCAAACCAGGUGGAAGGGAAGUUGAGAAUAUAGUUGGACCAAGGCUAGGAAAAAUCACUGUGAAUCCAUGUGGAUGCUAGGUACACAGGUCUGGUGAAGGAGGAUUAGAGAGACACUCCGCCAUCAGGAUGCUGAGCGCAAGAUCCGCUAUAUUCAAAUUUCUCUUUUCCUCACAGUCACAGGGACUGAAUGAACCCAGGGCCUCAAGUACGCUACAUCCCAGCCCUGUAUUCAGUUCUGCAGGGGAUAACCGGGGAGGACACAGUUGGGUGACAGUUGGAACACAGUAGGUAGGGGCUGCUACUCACAGCUAUUUCUUGAAAGGAGUGUUCAGGAUUUUUCUCUGUUUAAAGGUCAGAGCCUUUAUCACAGCUGAGGAUCAAACACCCCUGAUACCUGGUUAUCAUUAACACCUCGGUAACCAGACAGGAGGGAGGGAGGACAGAGAACCAGCAGGACAACAGGCAUGCAGCUGCUGGAGACCUCAUUCCUCUUACUCCAGCCCAUUCGCUGGCUACCAUAAACAAUUCUGUUCUGGGCACCAAGGAAUGGCAAGGCUGGAUUCUGUAAUUACACCGGUGGUAGCUGCUUGUUCCCUAUAACAUAAGUGGCAGAGAAGAAAUGAAGGACUCUACGAAGAGCUUUCGAUUUUUCCAAUUGCUGCAGUAAGCGCUGAUGGAAUUCUGCACUCAUGGGUGGGGCAGAGGGUGGGUGCUGCAGGGAAAGGGGAAAUAGAGCCUGAGGGGGACUCUUGGAGGAAGCUGGGGCAGAGCCCAAGUGUCUCGCUGAGCACUGGCUGUUGCAGAAGAGGCAUUUGUGAAGGAUGGCCAAGGAGAGCUGUCUCACAGCUGGCUCCCAUUACUGUGGGGGUGGAGGAACUGCCAAGCUCCCACAGCUGUGACCAAUUGUGCAGAAGUGGGGGAGGGAAGAGAAUCCCCCAGUAGGAAGGUGGCUGGGCCAGAGAGAGGGCUCAGUGAUGGACGCAGGUGAGAGAGGGAGGUCAGGCCUCGAGACGAGACGUUUAGUAUUGGGUGGUGGUUUCCUAAGGGCUGAAGCACUGUGCUAGAACAUCAGCAUGUGCUUGUGAGAGUUAACAUCUGGAAAUGUUUCGGUUCUGGGUGCUUGGGUUCCUGAAUCAGACACCCAGGAGCAGCUCAGAUGAUGAGCAGGCAGGUAUCCCACUGCACGCCAUUUCCAAGAACAGGAGUGAAGGGUUAAAACUCAGGUUGUGCUGCUCAUGAUGAAACCUCCCAAAAUUGUAUCACCAAGCAAGACUACCAUGUUUCUCUGACUGCACCUUUAACUCUCAAGUAACAUGUCGCCGAGUUUAAAAGGCACACAUGGCCCUUGAAGGGUCUCAUUCUGCUAUCUUCUGUGUGACUUCAGAAAGAACCUUUCACUACCUUAGGCCCCCCACUCUACCCCUACGGUAGAUAUGAGCCGGCCUAGACGAGUCCCAGUGUCCCCUCCAGCCUUAGCAGCCACCCACUCUGACUCUGUAUAACGACACAUCCAGGGGCUAGACAUGGGAGCUUUCUCCUGACCCACAAAAUGAGUCAAGUCUAUCAUGGUAAGGCUUGUUAGCACGCCUGGAUCGAGGAACAAUGGUGACAUCGCGCUCGGAGGAACUAUGAGAUAACCCUGGUGUCCAUGAACUACUGAAGGCAGUCCUGAAGCGGAAGGCCUGGCAGAGGCAGCGUGAAAGGGGUGGGCACUGACUUCAAGGAAAGAGCUGGGAUGGACGGGUCCCAGCGAGGGACAGUUAGCUAUGGGCUUGAGGAAAAGAACAUUAUAUACUGCUUUGUUAGCCUCUAAACCACGCUCCAAAAGCUAUCCUCCUGGUGUUCAUCUUACAAACCAAGGGAGUUCACUCAGAAUGUACCCUCCCACUCUGAGACAGGAUCUCAUAUGUCCUGGGGGCCUCGAAUUAUGUAAUGAGAGCUGACCUUCUCAUUCUCCUGCGUUUACCUCCUGAGUACUGGGCUACAGGUGUGGACCCCUGUGCCUGGUUUUAUUAGGUACCGGGGAUUGGAACUCAGGGGUUAGAGCAUACUAGCCCAGCAUUCUACCAUCCAAGCUACCCCCAGCUAGUGAUAUUUACUAAUUGCUUUUCAGUGCUGGGAACUGAAGCUAGAAUUUUAACAGGCUAGGCAAGUACUUCACCAUCAUCCUUUUUUCCUGGCCCAUGACUUUACAAUGUACUAUCAUGCUAUCAAAAUUCUUUCCAUAGAGCUUUUCUUAGACUCUUGUCAACCACUCUGAGAACGUGCUGGACCCGCAAAAGUAUAGUAUUUUGGGUGCCACACUGUUGAGUGUAGUUGGGUAUAGAAGACAUACAGGACCUCACUGAAGCUAUGGAAACUGAGUAAAAAUGAAUGGAGAGGGGCUGAGAUGGCUCAGUGUUUAAGAGCACCAAAUGUUCUUCCAGCGGUCCUGAGUUCAAUUCCCAGCCACCACACGGUGGCUCACAACCAUCUGUGGUGGGAUCCGAUGCACUUUUCUGGUGUGUGUCUGAAGAUAGCUACAGUGUAUGUACUCAAAUAAAUAAAAUAGAGGAAUGAACAAAAGAAUGAAUACAUACAGCUACACCAGAACCUAUUUGUCUUGUGACUUGUGUGUGAAACCCAAGGUUCAGACACCAUUGUCAAGACUUGGUCACCACAUCCCACUCAUUAGCUGGGACACGGACCUUCAGCUUCUGAUUUCUUACACUGGGAAAAAGAUAGAAUAUUAAAUAUUAAACUCUCUGCCAUCAAAAACUUUUAUACAAACUUGCUUGUGUGCAGCCAUGGUCUACAGUUGCGGAAGGUUUUUAGAGCUGAUACCAGUAAAUAAGAAACAAAAUAUUUAUCAUAAAGAAAAUGAAGAUGGGUAUUUAUCUGGGUUGUUAUGGAGACAGAGCAGGCCAUCAUAACAGCAUUCUUUGCUUUCCAUCUGUCAAGCUCGAGCUUGACAGAACCUUUAGAAACACUCAAUGUCCACCCUAAAGAUGAAACAGAGCAAACAUGUUAUUUUAAAUGUGAUAGGUUUUUGGCUCAACUUCAAACCCUUCUGUAAGUCAGAGUGUCUGCCACUGACUCCCAGUGAGUUUCUCUCCAGUGCUUAGACUCCUCAGCAAAGAUAACUAAAUGCACUGGGGGUGGGGGUGGGGGGGUGGAAGAGGGCAGGGUGGGGUGGGAGGAAAGUGCUGAGGGCAGCUAAGGUCCACCACAGAUGUCACAGGGUCACUCCCUGGGUUUGUCAUCUAUGGUGUUCUCAUGCUCCACUUGGUGGCCUCACUGAGACUGGGGCACGGAAGGAAGAGGGGUAGGGUAGGUAGGUUCUCCCUUCCACCAUCAGCUGAAGAGGAUCGGGACCCGUGUGUGCUCAGCAGAGGAGCAGCUCAGAUGAAGGCAACAGCUGGGACUUACGCUAAUGAUUUUCUUCUCAGAAUCGUCCAGAUCAAGAAACAUGCAGCCUGUACCCCAGCCCCUUGUUUGUUAAGGCUUGGACAGAGAACCUUCAUUUCCCCAUGGCUACUACCCAAUACAUCUAUCAGAAACAAAUAGAUCCUUCCACCAGGCCUACGAAUCAGAGAAUCUUAUGGAACGUGGUGCCAGGAGACUUGGAGGCUCUUAGCCCAGGGAGUCUGAUCAUCUCAGAUCUGAGAGAAACCUACUCAUACUACCCACUGGGGCCCCUGUUGGAAGGCCACCAAGAGAAGGUUGGUUCUAGACAAAAAUACUUAGCUUCUGUAGCCACAAAGGAAGAGAAAAGAAUCUCAAACCUUUUCAAGACAGGCUCUUGCUAUGUUGACAAGACCAACCUGAAACUCAAAGCCAGUCUACCUCAGCCGACUCACACUGGAAUAUAGGCAGCUUGCACCACCAGACUCUCAAAGGGUCUGCGUGGCCUACCUGGCAAAGACUUCCUGCAUUCCUGUGGAUACAGGGCCCAGAGGCUGUCCUGUCACCCCCAUCCCCAGCCCCACCACUGCAUGGCAGCUCCUAGCCCCCCCCCCCCCAUUAUCUCCAGUGUCAGGCAGCUCUCCAGUGCCUGAGGAGGCAUAAAACUUUACCACAAUCCUGCUGCAAAAGAAACACACACUGGGCAAUGGGCUCUGCAGCCUGCUUGCUGAAGCCUCAGAGGGCAAUGUAAGUGACUCUUCGAUACCAUAGGCUGUUCACAGAGGGCACAACUCCAAGAGCAGACUGUCAUGGAAGGUGAGGUGAGGAGAAAAAGACCGAAGGCCCUCCGGGAACGAAAGCUGAGGCCCCAGGGGAGCCCACUCGGGUGCAGGGGGAUCUGUUCAGAGGGGUUGGCUAGCGUGCAAUCUGCCCAGGAGAGAGCAGGUGGGCCGUACCCUUUUCUUGACACUUGGGUAGAAGGUCUCCUCCAGUUUUCUAAUAUCCUGAGCCCAAGCUGCCCUUUAGACAUUACCUCCCUGUCUCUUCCUACCUUUCCUUUCAGUGUUCUCUGACCAGAAAAUGCAUACAUGAUGCUUGGUUGGCCUGCUCAGUUUCAGCUGUUCUCAUGGUCAUGGGCAUCUUCUCCACACUGGCCUUCGCUAGUCUAACACCUUCACCCCCGAGGCAGUCCCCGAGGGGAUGCGUGACCCCCACUCCUGGCAGGUGCUGGGUUUAUUUAGCUGGUCUCCACGUUAUGCCAAGGCCUUUCUGAAAUCCAUCUUUUCCCUCUUCCCUGAAUCCAAGGGAAUGGGGGCUGUUGGGGAAAGGUGAGUGGGCCUUCCAGAACAUGGAGAUAGUCACCACAGAGCUGAUGAAAUCUGAUCCUGGUCACUAAAGGGUUAUUACUCAUCCCUGGCUUCCAGGGCUCUAGCCCCAACAUCGGGAGCUCUCUGUGUGAAUUCCCCAGUGCCCAGGAGCUUGGAGAGCUGCCCGGCUCUUAGCACCAGCUGCAGGCUGAAGACAGGGCCUGCUUCCCGAGCUAACAGAAAUGCACAGGGAACAAUGAUGGUGACAUUUAAAAGUGAACAGAGAGCUCAGACAUGAGGUAGGGGCAGCCGGGGAAUAGCCAAAUGGCAACGGUCCAAAGAGGAGCAUCCUAAAGGUGACCAGAUGGAUGCAUUGAGCACAGGGCGGGAUUGCUGACCCCUCCCCAGCCCCCUGAUGAAUUCCACGUUGAAACAUGUUGUCCUUUUCAUUCUCCUUCCCCUGUUUUGUUCUCUGCAGCAGCUCAGUCAUUUCCUCUCCAAACCACAGGCAGCACUGCUCUGCUUGUUAGCUCCUGGUAUGUCUCCUUCCCAGAUGGCCUCCACUAUUUUAGCUGUUGGUGGCCCCCUUCUUGGCCUUUUCUGGAGUGGCAGGUUCACAUAUUCUCCCAUGGUUCUAAAAAGCUCCAGGUCAGUGUUUUAGAAUUUUUUUUUUAAAGCCAUACGUUUCUUGUGUGAGUGUGCACGUGUGCGUGUGCACGUGUGAGUGUGCACAUGUGCGUGCACACACACACAGGAAAUCAGAGGACAGCUUGGCGGGAGUUGGUUCUCUCCUUGCACUGGGCAGGUCCUGGGGACUGAACUCAGGUUGUCUACCUUGAUGGCAGGCUCCUUUAUCUGCUGAGCUCCUCAAUGUUUUCAUUUGUUUAGUUUUUAGAGAGAAGGUCUUUCUAGGUGGUGCAUGGUACCCUGAACUCAUAGAGAUCUGCCGGCCUCUGCCUCCAGAGUUCUGGAGUUAAAGGGCUGACUGAGAUCAUGAAAAUGCUGGAACCAUUCCUUUGCUAGAAUCCAGAAUCAAGAUUUACUCACUCAUUAUGUAUACAGUAUUCUGCCUGCCAGAAGAGGGCAGAUGGUUGUGAGACACCAUGGCUUGCUGGGAAUUGAACUCAGGACCUCUGGAAGAACAGCUGGUGCUCUUAGCUUCUGAGCCAUCUCUCUAGCCCACCAAUGCAAAUUCUUAUUUCCCUCUGGACAUUCUUUGAUUUGUGAUGUGGCCUUCAGAAUCAGAGAAUCUCAUCUCUUCCUGCCCACCCUCGUUCUCCACUCCAAUCAGGGAGCUGCCUCACAGUCCCUGAGGGUGACAUGUUCAGUCUCUACUAUCCUUGCCUUCGUACAGACAGCUUCUGUAACAUGCUCUCAGUCUUAGCACCAAGUCAGCAGGUGAGGAGUGGCCUCUGUUAUCUCCCAAACUCACUGCCUCUAACAAGCCCUCCCACCAUGGUGUGGUGUAGUCUGCUUACUUCCUGGUCCCCCAACAGAAUUAGAACUCUGGAGGGCAGGUCCACGUUCUCAUAGGAGAGAGUGCCUAGCCCACAGUGAAACCCAUGGAAAGCAGGCCAAACAGCAGAGAGGCAUGGGCACCACGCAGUUCUAUCUCUCUUUACCUCAUGAGUGAGCCUCACAGGCCUCCAGGUCAUCCUUGUCUCCCAGAAUCCAAUCUACACGCUGAGAGUCUAAGACUAAGCAUCAUUUACAGGUAUUGUCAGAAGUGGCAGAGGUUGGUACCUGAGUUUGUCUGCGAUGAAGAUGACUCUCCUUUCCAGAAGGAGGGAGGCAAAGACACUGACCAAGUGUCGGACACUGAGGGAGGAGAACAGAGACUCAAAGUCCACGUGCUCUAGCCGGGAGUCCAGCGGUCGGCACAGCUCAAUCACCUGCCAGGGAACAGAAACUUCUAAGGAACAAAGAUUCCUAUCUGCCCUGUGGUUGGUUCUCCCAUUCAUCAUGGGUGUACAAGAAGCAAGGAACUGCUUAGCACAGGAAGUUUCCACCAGUGGAGUGCUGAACUGCUGUGGCCAGUGCGGUCAUCUUUAUCACGUUGACACAGAAAUCAGCCUUCUUAGCAGCCUAAUUCUACCUGCAGUGAAGUCCAAGAAAAUGUCCUGAUACUUUCAAGACACUGAAAUCUGUGUAACUGCUGGCAACUGCAGCCUGGUGUUUCUCCUUCCUUUCUGCCAGCUCGAGGGGAAGCAGCUCUACUUCUGGAUUUUCUGACCUCUUACCUAGAAU